GACAAGUCAGUUAAAUUCAGAUGUCAAUGUCAACCCAACAAAACAAUAACAUAAUUCACCUUGAGAAAUUAUUAUUUUUUAACUAAUAUUUAUUGGAAAACUUCAACACAAAUUAUUUGCUAAAUAAAACUGAUGAAAAUCUCAUAACUUCAUUCAAGUUCGCAUAUAUUUUGCCAGUGUGGCCUUUGUUUUGUGUACCUAGAAUGAUUACAAGGAGAAGAAUUGCAUGUUUUAACUGCUGAUUAGACUACACAACCAGAAAUAAAUAAGCUAAAUGAAGUGUGUUAGGAUUCCCCAGAGAUCAUGAAAUGUGUUUGAAGGGAUAUGAAUCAGCUUUUUUGUUAUCUUGAAUAGGCAAAAUGGCACGAGAAUCUUCCAACUGGACCCAAAGUCUCUAUUUUUGGUUAGAAAAUAAAACUUAUUUAAUGUUUAUGUUCCAUGACCUGUUUAUUGUUUUAUUAAAUUUUGUCAUACAGUUAUUUAGUUUUAAUAAUUAAA